ACGGAAAGCAUCUUAUAGGUUGGUGCAAAAAUAAUUGUGGAUUUUGCCAUUAAAAGUAAUAACAAAAAUCGCAAUUACUUUUGCUCCAACCUGAUAAUAU
rnacentral:miRNA from 1 species